GACGAACGCUGGCGGCGUGCCUAAUACAUGCAAGUCGAGCGAACAGACGAGGAGCUUGCUUCCCUCACGUUAGCGGCGGACGGGUGAGUAACAUGUGAAUAACCUACCUAUAUGACUGGGAUAACUUCGGGAAACCGGAGCUCAUACCGGAUAAUCUAUUGAACCGAAUGGUUCAAUAGUGAAAGACGGAUUUGCUCUCUCUUAUAGCUGCAUCCGCGCCGUAUUGGCUAGUUGCUAGGGUAACGGUUUACCAGGCCAACGAUGCGUAGCCGACCUGAGAGGGGGAUCGGCCACACUGGAACUGAGACACGGUCCAGACUCCUACGGAGGGCAGCGGUAGGGAAUCUUCCGCAAUGGGCGAAAGCCGACCGGAGCAAGGCCGGGUGGGUGAUGAAGGUCUUCGGAUCGUAAAACUCUGUUAUUAGGGAAAACCAAAUGUGUAGGUAACUAUGCACGUCUUGACGGUACCUUAUCAGAAAGCCACGGCUAACUACGUG
rnacentral:rRNA from 1 species